rnacentral:rRNA from 1 species
UACAGAGGGUGCGAGCGUUAAUCGGAAUUACUGGGCGUAAAGCGUGCGUAGACGGUUAUUUAAGUCGGAUGUGAAAGCCCCGGGCUCAACCUGGGAAUUGCAUUCGAGACUGAAUAGCUAGGGUGCGGUAGAGGGAAGCGGAAUUUCCGGUAUAGCGGUGAAAUGCGUAGAUAUCGGAAGGAACAUCAGUGGCGAAAGCGGCUUCCUGGACCAGCACCGACGUUCAGGCACGAAAGCGUGGGGAGCAAACAGG